ACUUCUGCUUGAUUUUGACCUUCUGUUCCGGUCAUCGGAGCAGAACAGGCUUUAUCAGUGGUUAACAUGACAACGUGCACGAAGACGGAAAUGCUGCAACAAUGUUCAGCGUGCAGGUGCGUCUGCUUCCACAUCACAAUUUGAUAAAGGUGUGUAAAUUUAGCCACAAAAACCUUAACGAGGUUUGAGAGAAACGUGACUGAACAUGAGUUAAAACUGAGGACUCUGUCAUUAAAAUGAUCGUUUUCUUUUGCAACUUCUGUCUUAACUUGUGCUGCAUGAAGAGCAGGAUCCCGAACAUGAGCAUUUCCACAGAUGGACUCCUAAUUCAGGGCAUGCUGAGGCGUUGACGUGCCGCAGACCUACCAUUCUGCAGUCGGCCACGGCGCGCUGGGCUUUGCGGGUACUUUCGGUGCUCUCCCUCCUCUGUGGGUCUCGAUGAGGAGGCUUUCCGAUCUGGAAGAUGUUCCCGGUGGAUCUGGGGCGAUUUUUGCGCCCAUUCGAUGCCGAACUCAUGCAUACACAUCCAAUAUUCAAACAGCCCCAAAGACAGAAUGGUUUUUCUGUGAUUCCCUCCCCCCUUUAAAAAAAAAAAAGAACUCCGCUCCUCCUGCACCUCACCGUUCACCUUUUUCCGCUCCUCCGCUCAGCUCAGGCUCGCUUCCCCCCCUCUGUCUGCAGUUUGUCACCGUCUUUCGUCCUAAUGUGCGAAAGGAGGCAAAUGUUUUCCCAGACGAGCCUGAGGGCGCAGGAGAAGUGGGGAAUGAGCGCCUGUGGCUCCUCUCCGCAUUGCCUCCACCGCGCCGCGCCGCACCGGGGCUGAAGUCACCUUCACUCCAGCAGCUCUGGCGCACAGUGAGCCCUUCACACCCAAAGCAGGAGUCGAGCUUUCUGCGGCGUCUUCUCUGAUGUCAGGAGGAAGCGCGCGCUCUCACGGACACUCUGCGACCAUUUUCACCAUUGCGCCUUUCCAUUAACGAUCUCUGCAAACCGACAAUGUCACGGCGACGCGACACUUCCAGCCCCCUGUUACGUU